rfam:Candidatus Collierbacteria bacterium CG1_02_44_10 cg1_0.2_scaffold_12649_c, whole genome shotgun sequence.
GGGUCAGUAGCUCAGUUGGUUAGAGCACCUGCCUCUUAAGUAGGGUGUCGCGGGUUCGAGUCCCGCCUGACCCA